rnacentral:tRNA from 1 species
AGUGUGGCCCAGUGGUAGAGCUCUUGUUUAGCAGACAUGAGGACUUGUGUUUAAACCACAGCACU